rnacentral:rRNA from 1 species
GAUGAACGCUGGCGGCGUGCCUAAUACAUGCAAGUCGAGCGAACAGACGAGGAGCUUGCUCCUCUGACGUUAGCGGCGGACGGGUGAGUAACACGUGGAUAACCUACCUAUAAGACUGGGAUAACUUCGGGAAACCGGAGCUAAUACCGGAUAAUAUAUUGAACCGCAUGGUUCAAUAGUGAAAGACGGUGUUGCUGUCACGUAUAGAUGGAUCCGCGCCGCAUUAGCUAGUUGGUAAGGUAACGGCUUACCAAGGCAACGAUGCGUAGCCGACCUGAGAGGGUGAUCGGCCACACUGGAACUGAGACACGGUCCAGACUCCUACGGGAGGCAGCAGUAGGGAAUCUUCCGCAAUGGGCGAAAGCCUGACGGAGCAACGCCGCGUGAGUGAUGAAGGUCUUCGGAUCGUAAAACUCUGUUAUUAGGGAAGAACAAAUGUGUAAGUAACUAUGCACGUCUUGACGGUACCUAAUCAGAAAGCCACGGCUAACUACGUG